rnacentral:tRNA from 1 species
GCGCGAGUAACUCAGUGGUAGAGUGUCAGCUUCCCAAGCUGAAGGUCGCGGGUUCAAAUCCCGUCUCGCGCU